GCCGAAAGGCUGAACCAGUAACUUGGAAGAAUGAAAGUGUAUUAUAAUAAUACAAUAACGAUUAAGUCGUAUAAAAUUCUAAAUAGAAUAAUGAUAAUGACAAUUUUCUAUUUAUAAGUCUUGACCAAACUACGUGCCAGCAGUCGCGGUAAUACGUAGAAGACUAGUGUUAAUCAUCUUUAUUAGGUUUAAAGGGUACCUAGACGGUAAAUUAAACUCUAAAUGAGUACUUGUUUACUAGAGUUUUAUGUAAGGAGGAAGAAUUUCUGGAGUAGUGAUUUAAUAUGAAUAAUCUCAGAGAGACUGGUAACGGCGAAGGCAUCCUUCUAUGUAAAAACUGACGUUGAGGGACGAAGGCUUGGGUAGCGAGAAGGAUUAGAUACCCUAGUAGUCCAAGCAGACAAUGAUGAAUGUCAUAGACUAGAUAUAAAUUUAGUCUAUAAAUGAAAGUGUAAGCAUUCCACCUCAAGAGUACUAUGGCAACAUAUAAACUGAAAUCAUUAGACCGUUUCUGAGACCAGUAGUGAAGUAU
rnacentral:rRNA from 1 species